AGAUGAGCCCGCGUCCCAUCAGCUAGUUGGUAGGGUAACGGCCUACCAAGGCUACGACGGGUAGGGGGUGUGAGAGCAUGGCCCCCCACAAUGGCACUGAGACAAGGGCCAUACGCCUACGGGUGGCAGCAAUCGGGAAUCUUGCACAAUGGACGAAAGUCUGAUGCAGCGACGCCGCGUGAAGGAUGAAGGUCGAAAGAUUGUAAACUUCUUAAUUCGCCGUAAGGCGAAGGAUUAAGCACCGGCAAACUACGUGCCAGCAGCAGCGGUAAAACGUAGGGUGCGAGCGUUGUCCGGAUUUACUGGGCUUAAAGAGUACGUAGGUGUUUCGGAAAGUCUGGGCUUAAAUCCCGCGGCUCAACCGCGGAACGUGUCUGGAUACUUCCGAAAUUGAGGGAGGUAGGGGGUGGCGGAACAUUGCAAGGAGGGGUGAAAUCCGAUGAUCUGCGAUGGAACACCAAAGGCGAAGGCAGCCACCUGGGCCUUUCCUGACACUGAGGUACGAAAGCUAGGGGAGCGAAACGGAUUAGAUACCCGUGUAGUCCUAGCCGUAAACGAUGGACACUAGCUAUCUCGCAAGAGGUGUGGCGCAAGCUAACGCGUUAAGUGUCCCGCCUGGGGAGUACGGCCGCAAGGCUAAAACUCAAAGGAAUUGACGGGGACCCGCACAAGCGGUGGAGCAUGUGGUUUAAUUCGAUGAUAACCGAAGAACCUCACCAGGGUUUGACAUGCAAGUGGUAGCGACCGGAAACGGAAGCGACCCGCAAGGGAGCUUGCACAGGUGUUGCAUGGCUGUCGUCAGUUCGUGGCGUGAGCUGUAUGGUUAAGUCCCAUAACGAACGCAACCCCUAUUCUGUGUUAGAAAUGUCACGGAAGACUGCCCGGGCAACCGGGAGGAAGGAGGGGACGACGUCAAGUCAGCAUGGCCUUUAUACCCUGGGCGACACACACGCUACAAUGGCGGCUACAACGGGUUGCAAGCCGGUAACGGCAAGCUAAUCCCUUAAAAGCCGUCCCAGUUCGGAUUGAGGUCUGCAACUCGACCUCAUGAAGUCGGAAUCGCUAGUAAUGGUGGGUCAGCCAUACCGCCGUGAAUACGUUCUCGGGUCUUG
rnacentral:rRNA from 1 species